CCGACAACUCAUAAGUGAACUACAGGCCUUACUGAUCAGUCGAUCAAAAUGGUUUCAAGAAUUAUUUUAGUUGCUGUUGUAUUUGCAUCAGUACUACAGACAACAAAUUCUGAAUCAUGCAAUACUGAAUCGCUUAAAACUACUUGUAAAUUUCCUGGUACGACACAAUUCCCGACCACGGAAGAAGAAAUUAAAACUGCUUGCGGACUUUUCAAGACAUAUUUCGCCUGUGUUGAUACAGAAACAUCACCUUGUUCUCAAACUUUCAAGGACGAAAUUCAAACCACAGCACUGGACCUUAUUCAGCCCACUUAUAAUGAAAAAUGUGGCGGUAUGGUGAUUAAUCCACUGAAUAUUGGUGUAUACAUUAUUAUUGCUUUGGCUAAAUUGACCUUCGACAGAUACAUGUAAAUCUUCCCUGGAAAGAAAACAUCGUUGAUAUGUAUACAUAGAGUAGCCGUACUUUUAGAUACAAUAGAUCAGUCGCUUCUAGUGACCAAUAUAAUUAAAACAUCACAUUUCCUUUCGUUUAAUGUAUGAUUUGUUACAUCGGUAGGCCAUUUAAUGUUUGAUUUCUUAUCUCGAUAGGGCGUUUUAAAAUUGAAUUAUCUCGAUAGGGCGUUUUAUAAAUGAUUUGUUACCCCGUCAGGGCGUUUUAUGAAUAAUUUGUUACCUCGAUAAAUAUCAGCUUAUAAACCACCUCCGGUUGCA